rnacentral:rRNA from 1 species
UACGUAGGGUGCAAGCGUUGAUCGGAAUUACUGGGCGUAAAGCGUGCGCAGGCGGUUUUGUAAGUUUGUCGUGAAAUCCCCGGGCUCAACCUGGGAAUGGCGAUGAAGACUGCAAGGCUAGAAUCUGGCAGAGGGGGGUAGAAUUCCACGUGUAGCAGUGAAAUGCGUAGAGAUGUGGAGGAACACCGAUGGCGAAGGCAGCCCCCUGGGUCAAGAUUGACGCUCAUGCACGAAAGCGUGGGGAGCAAACAGG